rnacentral:rRNA from 1 species
GAUGAACGCUGGCGGCGUGCCUAAUACAUGCAAGUCGAGCGAACAGAUGAGGAGCUUGCUCCUCUGACGUUAGCGGCGGACGGGUGAGUAACACGUGGAUAACCUACCUAUAAGACUGGGAUAACUUCGGGAAACCGGAGCUAAUACCGGAUAAUAUAUUGCACCGCAUGGUUCAAUAGUGAAAGACGGUUUUGCUGUCACUUAUAGAUGGAUCCGCGCCGCAUUAGCUAGUUGGUAAGGUAACGGCUUACCAAGGCAACGAUGCGUAGCCGACCUGAGAGGGUGAUCGGCCACACUGGAACUGAGACACGGUCCAGACUCCUACGGGAGGCAGCAGUAGGGAAUCUUCCGCAAUGGGCGAAAGCCUGACGGAGCAACGCCGCGUGAGUGAUGAAGGUCUUCGGAUCGUAAAACUCUGUUAUUAGGGAAGAACAAAUGUGUAAGUAACUAUGCACGUCUUGACGGUACCUAAUCAGAAAGCCACGGCUAACUACGUG